rnacentral:rRNA from 1 species
CCUUGCCAUUUAGUCUUCCGCCGGCGGCGCCGGAGCCACCGCGACGAACCCAGUGACUUCUACCCCUUCUACCUCUCCCCUCUCUUCGCAUCGUCCCGCCAGCGCCGCCGCGAUCUUCAAACUCACUAACCUCGCGGCCGCUUUCCUCCUCGCGUCGUAGCUGGGUCGGACGGACGGCGGCUGCUGGUUCGGAGUCCAGUCCUAGCGAGUGUCCGUUUUGCUUAGCUGUUAAGACCGAAGUUCAAAGGUUUCUGGAACAUGGGUCUUAGAAGAUUCUUAGUUUAGUUCCCCUCUCCCCUCUUAUGCGGGGCCGUCGAGGGGCUCUUGCUCGCAGGUAAAGGAUGUAGAGCCCCUUCGCCUUCGCGGGACUUGGGGAGCGGCUAAGCUCGCUGCUGAUGAGUUCUUCAAAGGAAGGGAGAGUGCUGUUACUGCGGUUGCCGGCGGAGUCAAGUAACUUUUAUACUUCCCCUCGUCGCAUCACCAACGACAAAAGAAACAGCCCACGGAUUAGUACCAACCUGUUACAGCGGGGCUGGGGUUCUCGUGGAUGUUUCUACCGGUACUGUUGUGCUGAUACCACCGGAGUAGUAAUCUACUCUCGUUUGAAUGGUAUUUUACCACACAGCGUUCCUUAACAUUGUGGUUUCCACUUGGUUUACGGGUAGUGACGAAAACGACGGAGUUACGCGCGCCCCCCCCUCCGUGGAACAAAAUCAAGGUCUCCUCUAACGGUCCUAGUGACGGGUUGAAACGGUGGGCCUUUUAUUCCUACAAGAUCGACUAUACAUAAACUAGCGUAGGGAAAAUCAAGGUAUCCUCUAACGGUCCUAGUGACGGGUUGAAACAGUGUGCCUUUUAUUCCUACAAGAUCGACUAUACAUAAACUAGUGUAGGGAUGGAUCGACAUCGUAGCAGCGGCUAGAUCCGUAGACACAUCCAGAAGCAUUUCCUACGUUGUACACCGACCCUAUAAGUGAUCGCCACCCUAGACACACUUAGAUAAAAGUAAGUACAUAAACUUCUUAAGAUCAACUACAUUCGAGUGUUUUGGAGGUUAAUCUCGUCUACCCUAUGCAAACGUCUAGUAUUUAAGACGUGGGCUAUAGUCACCGCUCGUACGAUAAAACGUAGAAUUAAACAACACGAAGGUCAUGCGGAACAAAUAUAUCACUAUCGUUAGAAAAAACGAAGUACGUAAGCACGAAGGAUGCAUGUCGCCUUAAAGUUAGAUAAAGGUACGAAGAUCCAUCGAAGGAUACAUGACGACGUAGAUGGUAGGAAACAAACAGACUAACCUUACAGUUAGAUAACGGUACGAACGACCGACAUGAAAAAAAAAGUAAUCAAUCGUAUAUAUGAAGGAUCCACAGGAAGCAUGUCUAUGAAGAAGGUACGUUACCUCGAAGUGAGAGAACGGUACAAAGCAUCUACAUGUCUACAUUUCAGGUAACGAAGCCUCGUAGGUACAAAAAAAUACAUAUCUAUCUUGACGUUAGUACGUAGAACUAAAUCAUAUACACAAAGGUAACAAACAUCUAAAAGUAAAAUAAAAAAAUAAUUUGUCUGUACGAAGUAACAUAAAGAGUAGUGAACAUAUUAAAGUAAAUGAACGUAACGG